AUACAGCGGGUGCAAGCGUUAAUCGGAUUUACUGGGCGUAAAGCGCGCGUAGGUGGCUAAUUAAGUCAAAUGUGAAAUCCCCGAGCUUAACUUGGGAAUUGCAUUCGAUACUGGUUAGCUAGAGUAUGGGAGAGGAUGGUAGAAUUCCAGGUGUAGCGGUGAAAUGCGUAGAGAUCUGGAGGAAUACCAAUGGCGAAGGCAGCCAUCUGGCCUAAUACUGACACUGAGGUGCGAAAGCAUGGGGAGCAAACAGGAUUAGAUACCCUGGUAGUCCAUGCCGUAAACGAUGUCUACUAGCCGUUGGGGCCCUUGAGGCUUUAGUGGCGCAGCUAACGCGAUAAGUAGACCGCCUGGGGAGUACGGUCGCAAGACUAAAACUCAAAUGAAUUGACGGGG
rnacentral:rRNA from 1 species